ACACAUGCAGUCGAGCGGCAGCGACAACAUUGAGCCUUCGGGGGAUUUGUUGGGCGGCGAGCGGCGGACGGGUGAGUAAUGCCUGGGAAAUUGCCCUGAUGUGGGGGAUAACCAUUGGAAACGAUGGCUAAUACCGCAUGAUAGCUUCGGCUCAAAGAGGGGGACCUUCGGGCCUCUCGCGUCAGGAUAUGCCCAGGUGGGAUUAGCUAGUUGGUGAGGUAAGGGCUCACCAAGGCGACGAUCCCUAGCUGGUCUGAGAGGAUGAUCAGCCACACUGGAACUGAGACACGGUCCAGACUCCUACGGGAGGCAGCAGUGGGGAAUAUUGCACAAUGGGCGCAAGCCUGAUGCAGCCAUGCCGCGUGUAUGAAGAAGGCCUUCGGGUUGUAAAGUACUUUCAGCAGUGAGGAAGGGGGUAUCGUUAAUAGCGGUAUCCUUUGACGUUAGCUGCAGAAGAAGCACCGGCUAACUCCGUGCCAGCAGCCGCGGUAAUACGGAGGGUGCGAGCGUUAAUCGGAAUUACUGGGCGUAAAGCGCAUGCAGGUGGUUUGUUAAGUCAGAUGUGAAAGCCCGGGGCUCAACCUCGGAAUUGCAUUUGAAACUGGCAGGCUAGAGUACUGUAGAGGGGGGUAGAAUUUCAUGUGUAGCGGUGAAAUGCGUA
rnacentral:rRNA from 1 species